AGUGCCUUUAGCCUCCUGUUUGGCCCAUUUGCAAUUUCUGCGGAAGAUGAACAGGAAUAGGGAGAACCAAUGGGAGACUAGCUGGAGGUGUCUGGACGGGCAAAUUUAACUCUCAUUUCCCACCAGGAAGAGGAAUUAACCAAAGGCUC